rnacentral:rRNA from 1 species
UACGUAGGGUGCGAGCGUUUAAUCGGAAUUACUGGGCGUAAAGCGUGCGCAGGCGGUUAUGUAAGACAGGUGUGAAAUCCCCGGGCUUAACCUGGGAACUGCAUUUGUGACUGCAUAGCUAGAGUACGGUAGAGGGGGAUGGAAUUCCGCGUGUAGCAGUGAAAUGCGUAGAUAUGCGGAGGAACACCGAUGGCGAAGGCAAUCCCCUGGACCUGUACUGACGCUCAUGCACGAAAGCGUGGGGAGCAAACAGG